rnacentral:rRNA from 1 species
UACGGAGGGGGCUAGCGUUGUCCGAAGUUACUGGGCGUAAAGCGCGCGUAGGCGGGUUGGUAAGUCCGCUGUGAAAGCCCGGAGCUUAACUCCGGAGGGUCGGUGGAUACUGCCAGUCUUGAAGGUGCUAGGGGGAGAUGGAAUUACCGGUGUAGCGGUGAAAUGCGUAGAUAUCGGUAGGAACACCAGUGGCGAAGGCGGUCUCCUGGGGCAUUCUUGACGCUGAGGCGCGAAAGCUGGGGAGCGAACGGG